rnacentral:misc_RNA from 1 species
UGGCGUAAAUAAACACAAACGAAAAAAAAGAAAAGAUUGUCAGUCAUGCAACUGAUGAAAGCAAGAAGCAAGCACACGCAUAAACAGUUGCUUCUUGGCCUCUACCAUUUGUGGUGGGGACUCUGUGGGGCCCACACUCGCCUUGGAAGCAGAAUCUCGACUACAGAACCCGGGAAUAGAAGUGCCAUGAGCCGGACCCUAAUCAGCUGUUUGUCUCAGGCGAGGAAAGGGGCGGCAUCUCAAAUCAACUUUCCAGCGUCAUUAUCUUCUGUCAUGGAAACCAAGCAUCUUAGCACGGGAUCAACAUGUCCUCCUCAGGAGCCUGGAGUCCUGCGGUGCUACAGUAUGAAGUUCUGCCCGUUCGCACAGCGCACCAGGCUGAUCCUCGUGGCUAAGAAUGUGAAACAUGACAUCGUGAAUGUAAACCUGAAGACCAAACCAGAAUGGCUGUUUGAGAAGAACCCGCUAGGAAAGGUUCCCGCCCUGGAGAAGGAUGGGAAGAUGCUGUUUGAGUCCCUCAUUACCUGCGACUACUUGGAUGAGGCCUACCCAGACCCCCCCCUGUACCCCUCCGACCCCUGGCAGAAGGCACACGACCGGGUUUUCAUGGAACUGUGGUCGAAGGUGACAGGCCCGAUGUACAGAGUGUACUUUGCAAAGGGAGAUCAGGAGGCGCUUGCCAAGGCAGUUGAGGACGUCCAGGCUGGUUUGGGUCUUUUCGAGACUGAGUUGAAAAAGAGAGGCACCAUGUUCUAUGGUGGAGAGAAACCUGGCAUGCUGGACUACAUGAUUUGGCCGUGGGUCGAGAGGCUUCCAAUGGCAGAGAUGAUGGCUGGAGAUUUGAAGGUGUUCCAGCAAGAAACCUUUCCCAAACUGUCCUCUUGGAUGGAGGCAAUGAUACAGGACAAAGUUGUUCAGGCCACAUACUUGCCGCCAGAAGCACAUUUCGAGUACCUCACUUCAGUUAGAAAUCGGAUGGUGAUGCCACCCAAGCUGUAGUAAAACUUGAGAUGAACUCUCUAUAAAUGGAUUUAUCUUCAUAGUUCAAGGUUAUUUAAUUUUGUCUCGGGCGUCUUUUAUGUGGAGAUACACGACUAAACUGACGGAUGUCUUUUGAUUUUGGAAGUGAAAUUUGAAUGGGUGGAGAAAAUGAAGGAAGACAAAGCAGUGAGUGCAGUCUUCAUAAGUGCCGAGUCCCAUUUCAAGUUCCUGAAGUCACACGUCGACGGCGCUCCAGAUUACGACAUGGAGGUUUAGGGGCUUAAUC